GUGCCGUGGUGUGGUCAUAGCUCACUGAAGCCUCAAACCUCUGGGCUGAAGCCAUCCUUCCGCCUCAGCCUCCCAAGUAGCUGGCACUGUGCCUGGCACUGUCUGAAUGCAUACAGCUGCGUAGCGUCGUGGUAAGAACACCUGCCCUGACAUCACACAGACUGGCAUCCACAUCCCAGCUGAGCCUCGGUUCUCACAUCUGCAAAAUGGGGAGAACAACAGCAGCAGCGUCCUGAGGCUGGGGUGAGGACCGAGUGAAAAACCUUUGUCGCACCUUUGGGCAUCGCAGGAGUUCAAUAAAUGUUAGCUAUCAUUGUCA